UGCGUAGGCGGUCAGGUAAGUCUAAAGUGAAAGCUCCGGGCUUAACCCGGAAAUGGCUUUGGAUACUAUCUGGCUAGAGGGCCGGAGAGGGGGACUGGAAUUCUCGGUGUAGCAGUGAAAUGCGUAGAUAUCGAGAGGAACACCAGUGGCGAAAGCGAGUCCCUGGACGGCAUCUGACGCUGAGGCACGAAAGCCAGGGUAGCAAACG
rnacentral:rRNA from 1 species